CAAAAAUUUUCCCUCUCAACUUUCCGCCUUUACGCCUUUCUCAACCCACCUCAACCUCCAUCUCCUCUACCGUUCCUCCAUCUCCAAAACCUAAAUCCGUCGCCUACCGCUUACUACAAGAAAAAUGCCCAAGACUCCAACGUCGCGACAAUCAUUCCCAACGCCUGGGUGUUUGCCGUCAAAAUCGCUCGUCGACAUCGCCGUCUCUGCUGCGCUACAAGUUCUAUUACUCAAAUCUUAAACCCUAAUCCCUAAAAUCUUAAUUCUAUUUAUCCCUAAAUCAUAAUUUCAUUAAUCCCUAAAUUCUUUAUGUGAUAGUUAUUUUUACGCACCUGUGCGGAUGUAUAGGUUCGUAAGUGUUAGUGUGGAGUUCUUGACUUUUUUCUGUGUUGAUUUCAGAUGAGCAAUCAGUGGAGUAAUUCUAAAAAGGCACCGGCUGGGAAAAGCCGAUACAUAUGGUGGUAGUAGAUCGGAGUUAUCCAGUGAAGUGUUAUUUGAUGAUUAUGGACGACCUAUUAAUAUUCCAGGUGGGAAGGAAUAGAAGGGUUCUGAGAGUUUUCCAUGGCCAGACUGACAUGGACGUGCUAUGUCAGAUUGGACUUGAUGGGAUUAGAAUACUUGAGCCUGCUACAAGCAGAACUCUAAAGAUAUAUCAACUUGAUAAUGUGGCAAGAUGGGAGGUAUUGGAUUCAUAUAUAUUUGCAUUUUGGACCAAAAGCUCUGUUGACACUGAACCUAAAUAGAUCGGGCUUAAAUCAAACAGCUAUACCACAAACAAUAUCCUGGAUGUCGUGACAGCAGCAAUUAUUCAGGUCAAUGAAAUGGGUGAAACUAAUAGACCUUCAAAUCUUACCAGAGGUGGAUCUGAGCAACUUGCAUACAUGAAGAAAUGUUUUACUGAUUGGAUGAAAAUAAUGAGGCCACAAAAUGAAGAGAAACAUCACUGGAUUUUUGUGUUUUAGUUUAUGUUGGGCAAACUAUUGAAAGCUUUUCAUUUAAUAGCUUCUUGAUGAAGCAGUCACCAAGUUCAGUAAUUAUUGAAGUGUUGGCACCAUCUUCCUAAUGAGGCUAUUCAAUCUGGGUGUAUGAGCCAUUUCAUAUACUUCAAAUGGGAGCUUGGCCAAAGACAACUCUUACAAAGGACGCUAAUUAGACUACGAAAAAUGCUUGUGUCUAUGUAAUGAGAAGCAUGAAGCACAUAAGGUCUUUCUUUAAAAUGUAUCUUUGGUCACUACAAUAUUUAGAUUUAGUGAUUGGAAUUGUUCAUUGUAUUUUAAAGUAGAUGAUGAAUUUUUGUGUAUUUUGAAAUACUUUACAUACUUGUAAAAGAUGAUUGUACUAAUGAAUUGAUGCUUUGAUAUUUA